rnacentral:lncRNA from 1 species
AUGCGGUUUGACCAACCCCGUCAUCAUCACAUCCGCAACUCUGCAGCCUCUCUUCCUCAUUCUGAUACCGGACAUCUGCAUCUGCAACCCCGCUGCGUGACGAGAAGGCGCUCCAAAUUCCCACAGCUAACCAUUCACGACACAAUAUAUGCGUGUUUUGAGUCGGACGAGGACAUUUCUAUUGUCAAAAAACAACUUUUCGUUCGCCUGCACGAGUUGACAUCAGCAAUACAACUAUUAAGUAUCAUCGCCGCCCGUCGGAUUUCAAAGUCAGCGAUGGACGAACAGUCUGCGCUGAUCCGAGUGGAGAGAACUUUUUGGAAUGUUUGGAACUACAUCAGCGGAGCGGUGACGAGGCUCCUGCGGGCAGAACCUGCUGUCAACAACCCAGGCAAUGCCGAGCGGACAGGGGGUCCGACGGUGGGCUUUGAAAGAGCACAGAGAGACCCCAGCCAGAGAGAUGAUAAGGCGGAGGAGGAGGAGAAAAAUGAGGAGGAGGAGAAAAAGGAGGAGGAGGAACAAGCCGAUCUGAACACCGCCUCUUUGCCCCACUGUCCUCAGCCUCCUCUCACCCUACCAUCCCUUACUGACGGACUCCUCCGAGGCCCAGGAGGGACGAGGGAGGUUCAGUGCACGGCAGUGUCCACCAGAGGGAGUGGUAUCGACGGUCAAACAGAACAGGAAGAUACUGAUGGCGUGCAAUGGUUCAAUCAGACAGAGCGAGAAAGAACAGAAAAAGGCUACAUCAAAUUUUCUGCAGCAACGCAACAGAUUGACCAAGAAAAUUAUGAAAAGCUUCUUGAAGGCAGGUCCAGGGCAGAAGAGUCUAAGAACCAUCAAAAACAACAGCAACAACAAGACACUGAGACCUCAAACUACCCUGAUGAAGAAAAUGACAACCACCACUCAGGUCUUGUUGAGGAGGUUGGAAAGGCACUGGCUGCUGAUAGACCAGAAGAAGAAGCUGGCCAGUAUUGCAAGGUCACUGAAGUGGAGGAGGGGGAGGAGGAGGAGAAGGAGGAGGAGGAGGAGGACGAGGAGGAGGAAGAGGAGGUGGCAGCGGCAAGGGUCUCUCUCUCCAGUGACGAAGAACCAGAUUUAAAUGAACCAAACAAUGUUUCAGGGUCAGAGACGGAAGGCCAUGACAUCGUCAGAGAGGAGAACCUCCCCUUUGUAAAUAAGGAAAACUUAUCUACAGAAGGAGGAGAUACACAAAAUAAAAAUUCACCAAACCUAGAGAACACUGAUGGUGGAUCAGCAGAGCCUUGUGCCAGCACUCUCACAGUUAAUCAAAGUGAAAACAAUUUGAAGUCUAUUGAGGCAGUCUGGGAACAGGACUUAACUGGAAUAGUUUCAGAUGAGGAUGACAAGGUAGUUCAGGAAAUUAAAAUUUCUGAUUUCUUAACUCCAUUUGUUGACACACCAGAAGCCAACCUGAGCAGCCCAUUGUCCAACGAUGGCAAUGCUGUUGUUGGACAAGAACAUUUGGAAGUGGAGUCAAAGCAGAGAUCUGGGGUGGGCCAAUUUGAGAUGAAGGAACAGAGCAGUUUCCUCAUCCAGGGGAGUAAUGAUCUUUAUAGAAAGGGAAGUAAUGUAAUAGGCCCAGUAGGAAACCAGAUAGUGGUUGGAACCAAAGAGGAAAUUACAAAGGAGGGAGUCACUGCAUAUGUGGAAGAAAAAACUGCAGUCAAAAACGACGCUGAUGCCCAAAACGAUGAGUCACAGCCCCAGGAAGAGGUGAACCAAAGAGGAGAGGAAGAAGGGGGAGCCGAAGUGAUUUCAUUAAUACAUAAAGCGGCCCAAGACAAGGAACUGAGUUACAGUUUGAAAACGGAGGCAGUGACUGAAUUCAACAGUCCUGAACCCUUGCUUGGUUUUGGUGAUGCCGUGAAACAUGAUACCAAAGACUCUCCGAGUGCCUCCAGCGAUGAGGAUGGGGAUGAUGGGGAAGGAGGGGUCAGUACUCAGUGGCCGGUAGGAAUUGAUUCCCCAGGCGUGGCCUUACUGGUGAAAACGGAAAGCAACAAUGAACAGGAAAUGAGUGCAGCGCUCCCAGACAUUUUCCCAGGGACCUCUCCAGGAUCAGGUGCUGGGCUUCGUGGUCUGAGCUGUAUUCCAUUUGAGGAAACAAGACUUCUAAUUCCAGAAGUAUACAAUGGAGACUUUGCUGCUGCCACCGAAAAUACAGAGGAAAUAGCCCUGAUGGGAAGGGAUUCUGACGAAAGGUGGGUAGCUUCCCAGUUACCGAACUUAUCUGAAGGUUUUAAAUACGUAGCUGGGGUAGGGGAGGUAGACCACAUUCAACGGGAGGACCAUGACACGACUUUGAAGAGCGGGGAAAGAGAAGAUACGGUGGCCGGCCAGGAUAUGGUUGAUGGAUGGAGUGUUGAUCCAGAGAGCCUUGGAGACAGGGAUGGCCCUCGGGGAGUUGAACAGCAGAUGAGUGGUAGAGCAGUAGGAUCCACAGGAGAGGAAGGGAGGACAGGGGACGGACUGUCGGAUGAGGACUGCUCCAGGCAUGAGGCUCACAAGACCGAUGUAGAAGACUUUAAGACUGAGGAACCAUUGUUUGAGUUCAAAUUAGACGGGGAGAGGAGUGAAUCCACAGGAGCUGCAUCUAAAGAGGCAGUAGCGUUGGAUAACAUAGCCUUAUGGAGUGUUUGGUAUGAUGAGGUCAACACACAGGAUGACCGCCAGUUUUGUGAGGAAAUAUUAAUUCUGCCACACAAUGUGAUACAGAAGACAACAGAGCCGUGUGAAGGUGAAUCCACAGCCGCCACGAUGACUGAAGAAAACAAAGGGCGUACUCCAAGCCAAUCAGAGGACUAUAUUGAACCUGAAUCCAUCCAUCAGCCAAUUGACAACCAAGUUCGAUCCUUUGAUGAUGGACAGACAAAAACAGAGGACAUUGUUAAAGACAUUUCAGAUGAAGAGACGGGAAUCGCUGGGCUUGAGGAGACCACAGAAUCGAAACAGCAAAGAAAAGCUGGAGAAUCCGAUCUGUCAGUAGUUGAGACCGUAGGACCAGGAUCUCUUACUGAUAUAUCCUCUGACCUUUUGAUGGACAUAAGACAGGACCUGCCAGCUGAACUACAGGAGUCCACCUCCGGAGUUACAGAACCGCAAACCCGGACUUCAGCAAAGAAAAUUGAAGAACGUGUGGAAGUUGUUUCAGCUGUAAAAGCUGCUGAGGAUGAGCAAGCCUUGACUUUUGGGCAGGCGACGGGGACGGACGAGGAGAUUCUAGGAAUGGGGGUCCUCCACAAAGACACAGACCACACCCUUUCUGUCCCAACAAAGACAGAGAAACAAGCAGUAUUACAGACCGAGAUCAGGACUCCCUCCUCCUCCUCCUCCUCCUCAGACGACGAUGAUGAGGAUGAUGAUGAAGCAGCUUAUCAGACGCAUGAGACUACCAACCAUCCAACUAACUUUGAGGAGCAGAUCCAAGACCAAGCUGAGAUGAAGGAGAUGUCUACCCAGAUUGAAGGGGAAGAAGACGAGGAACUGCCACUGGACUCAUAUUCUUACCAAUAUGGAUUGGCGGGGACUUUGGGAAAAUCAGAUAUUUUGGAAGCACAGGAUGGUGAGGAUUCAGAAAAUAUCUCAGGAAGAGAAAGUAUGCCAGACUGUGAGGUUUUAAGCACUAAACCAGAGGGAAUACGAUUGCCUGAGAUGUUGAUGACAGUGCACCUUGAUGCUCCAGAUGUAUCGCCACCCUCAUUCAUUGAGGGGAGGACACCUUCACAAGAAAAGGAACCACAACACCACCACCUGCCGCCUUCUGGAAAGCUCUCUGAUGAUGAAGCUGUCUCAUCUCAGGCAGAACAUGAUGAAUCAUUGGAAGAAACGCAAAUGAAUGAAGAAGCAGCUAUCAAAAUGGAGGCCAUCAACAUAUAUCCUGAGGUUUCAGCAUUUGCCAUGAGUUAUGAUGGGGCAACAGAGGAUGGAAGUUAUGAAACACCAGUGAUACCGGUUCCUAUCCCCAACAGUGUGGAUGAAGACUCUGGUGUAGAGGAUACGUCUCGCCUGCUGCCUGACGUGAAGCUGUCCGACGCCAGCUCACCUCCUGAGGUAGACUCUGUCGUGCUGAGGGAAAAAAAGGGGUUUGGCGAAAGCAGACAAGGUCCAUGUUUGGACUCCAAACAUCCAUCGUACAAGAUUUUGUUAAAGAACCAAGCCCGGUCUAGAAGAUCAGAAUUCAUAGCUCCACCCGCUCUUGACCUGAGCGCAGAAGAGAGAGCCAGACAGCGACACAGUCUACCUCCAGGAACAUUUGGAGAGGAGUUUGAGCUGGACGUUAAUGUUUUGGACCUUACCGUCCAGAAGUAUCGCAUCCUGGUGAAGAACCCCAGCACGAGGCGUCCCACCGACCCCAGGGCCCUACUGCAGAUGCCUUCUCUGGAGGCCGCCCCCUCAAACCGCUCCAACACCCAGCAAGCCCUGCCUCUGGCAGGCAGGCCAAUGGGAGGCAUCGGGGUUGGGAUAAAGCUUCCUGGUUUCGGAGGUGGCUUCCCAGCUCUGAAGAAAACCCAGAGGGUGGUGAAGGGAGGAGAUGAAGUCGUCCCUGAGCAGCAAUUUGAACCGCAAGAAGGACAGACAAUAUCUCCAAAACCAACCGUCGCUGAGCGUAAACCAAGAUGGACGCCCCCAAAGCAACCUGGAUUUGGGAACCCUCUUAUAUCAGAGCUCAAGAGCAAACUGAAGAAAACCAGCGAAGAGUGAGGAGAGGACGAGAGGUUCUAUUGGCAGCCGGUUCCAGAGGAGGUGUUAUUCAUGUUCUUGCGGUUCCAGAUGUUCCCAGGUGGAAGAUGUCGUGUCCACAAUAUCCUGUUACUGCCAGCUCUGGAGCUCAGGGGAAUGAGGUUCCUUGCAUCAGAGCUCUUUAGUAUAUAUGCUGUUAAGAUUCUUUUUUUCUGGUUAAGGAAAUGCAACCAUUGAGCUUUUGGCACCUUGCCUGCUUCUCGUGUUUCACCGAUCAUGUAAAUAGAUUCCUGCGUUAAAAAAAAAUCUAUAUUUUUUAUGUGUAAUCCAUGAUAAACAGUGCAACUGCCUGCAAAUUGUCUCCUUUCAAUUAUUUGCGCGUGAUCAUUCUUUGAAAGAGGCCAAUGAAAAUGAAACCUACUUACCAAACCAAGUAAAAACUAUGGAAAUUUGAGUUUUAUAAAGUCAUGAUGUUUCCUAUUGUAAAAAAAUAAAAUAACAUAGUCGGUGUGUAAUUUUUAGGAAGAACGAUGAUAUUUGUCCUGUGCAGUCAUAUUUUGCUCACAUGCAAGAUCUUCCAAGAAAAUAGUUAUUUAUAGACAGUAGGCUAUAUGGGGCGGACAUCUAAUUACAUUUAUGGGGCGAGGCCAGUGACGGUGUGGGGCGGGGCCCGUGACGCGUGGGGCGGGGCCCGUGACGCGUGGGGCCAGAAGAAGCCGGAAAUAUAAUGGCAUGAAUUCAUUCCAGCAUACAAACGAGAUGGUGCCAUGUCUGCGGCACUCAGAGCUACAACAUGGGAAAUAUCCGAAUCCGAGGACGAAUGUCACAGUGAAAGCAAGACGGAAUCAGUGACCUUCAUAGUAGAAAGCGUUGACACCCAAUGCAGCGACGACACAACAUCAACAACCUUGGCAUCCACAGAUGAACCAAGUCAAGAUCAUAAUCUGUCUCCUCCGCGGGUACCCAGGUCUAAGACCCCCUGUCCUCCGCUGGGACCAGGGUCGUUGAGCCCCUGUCCCGACCGAAAGCGACGCUCCCGAGAUCACACUGAAGCAGAGCAGCUUAAAGCAAAGCAGAAGAGAGAUGCUAGAGAUGAUCAGAGAGCAGCGAGAGCCAUAGAGAAGGAGGAGAGGAAACGGGAGCAGCAGGGAAGGAAGAAACUGGCAGAGCACAUGAGAAGUUUGAGGCCAGAGAACUGUCUCAAAAGCCUGACUAUAUGCAUAGAUCCAG